AUCCUGGCUCAGGAUGAACGCUGGCGGCGUGCUUAACACAUGCAAGUCGAACGAAGAUGCCGGAGUGCUUGCACUUUGGCAGACUGAGUGGCGGACGGGUGAGUAACGCGUGGGUAACCUGCCUUAUACAGGGGGAUAACAGUUAGAAACGACUGCUAAUACCGCAUAAGCGCACAGGAUUGCAUGAUCUAGUGUGAAAAACUCCGGUGGUAUAAGAUGGACCCGCGUCUGAUUAGCUGGUUGGUGAGGUAACGGCCCACCAAGGCGACGAUCAGUAGCCGACCUGAGAGGGUGACCGGCCACAUUGGGACUGAGACACGGCCCAAACUCCUACGGGAGGCAGCAGUGGGGAAUAUUGCACAAUGGGCGAAAGCCUGAUGCAGCGACGCCGCGUGAGCGAAGAAGUAUUUCGGUAUGUAAAGCUCUAUCAGCAGGGAAGAUAAUGACGGUACCUGACUAAGAAGCACCGGCUAAAUACGUG
rnacentral:rRNA from 1 species